rnacentral:pre_miRNA from 1 species
AGCCUUCUGUAUCUGUGCUGAGAUUUCGUCAUACACCAGACCACAAGGGCUGAUGAGACUACCAAGAUAAGUGAAGCU